UACAGAGGUCUCAAGCGUUGUCCGGAAUCAUUGGGCGUAAAGCGCGUGUAGGCGGCCCGAUAAGUCCGCUGUGAAAGUCCAGGGCUCAACCCUGGGAUGCCGGUGGAUACUGUCGGGCUCGAGUCCGGAAGAGGCGAGUGGAAUUCCUGGUGUAGCGGUGAAAUGCGCAGAUAUCAGGAGGAACACCAAUUGCGAAGGCAGCUCGCUGGGACGUAACUGACGCUGAGACGCGAAAGCGUGGGGAGCAAACAGG
rnacentral:rRNA from 1 species